rnacentral:rRNA from 1 species
UACGGAGGGGGCUAGCGUUGUUCGGAGUUACUGGGCGUAAAGAGUGCGUAGGCGGUUUUCUAAGUUUGGUGUGAAAUCUCCCGGCUUAACUGGGAGGGUGCGCCGAAGACUGGAAGGCUUGAGUAUGGGAGAGGUAAGCGGAAUUCCUGGUGUAGCGGUGAAAUGCGCAGAUAUCAGGAGGAACACCGGUGGCGAAGGCGGGUCUCUGGGCCGUAACUGACGCUGAGGAGCGAAAGCGUGGGGAGCGAACAGG